rnacentral:lncRNA from 1 species
CAUCAUGGGGGGUUUCGACCCCUUCUAAGUCCUCGUCCGAGAACGAGAUGGCUUCACCAGUACGUGGGCGCUUCGGGGGUGCUCCCUGGGCGGCCGUUCCUGCCGAGGCCCGCCCGAUCAUAUUGAUGGUGCCGGCGAUGGGCCUGUUGUCGCCCGGAUUUUCGGUUGGUGCGACAUUCUCCGCCGGCCUCCUUUCCUCAGGUCGGUUCCUCACGAACCGGUUGAGUACUCCCCGUCGGAUGAGCGCUUCUAUCUCAUCCCGGAGUUGGUAGCAGUCCUCCGUGUCGUGCCCACGAUCUCGGUGGAAGCGGCAAUACUUUCUGGGAUUCCGGGGGAAUCCCGUGUCUUGCAUAGGAGGCGGGGGUCGGAAGAAGUCCCGACCCUCGAUUUCCAUCAGGAUCUCGGCCCGGGGAGCGUUGAUGGGUGUGUAGUUCUCGUACUUUCCCGGGUACGUCCGAGGCCGUGGUGGGGACCUCGGCCGAGGAGGGGUCCUUUGCUGAGAUCGCCUCUGCUGUUGGGGCGGGCUUCUCAGUCUGGGGAGGUUCUUCUCUCGGCGGGGGGAUCGGCUCCUUUGUCGGCCGCGCUCCUCGCAGCGUUUCUUCUGCUUCUUGGAGGCGGGCUCAAUUGCCCCCCGCCUGGAUGCAACUGCCUCCUCGGCCUUGGNNNNNNNNNNNNNNNNNNNNNNNNNNNNNNNNNNNNNNNNNNNNNNNNNNNNNGGCCCUGUUGUCGCCCGGAUUUUCGGUUGGUGCGACAUUCUCCGCCGGCCUCCUUUCCUCAGGUCGGUUCCUCACGAACCGGUUGAGUACUCCCCGUCGGAUGAGCGCUUCUAUCUCAUCCCGGAGUUGGUAGCAGUCCUCCGUGUCGUGCCCACGAUCUCGGUGGAAGCGACAAUACUUCCUGGGAUUCCGGGGGAGUCCCGUGUCUCUCAUAGGAGGCGGGGGUCGGAAGAAGUCCCGACCCUCGAUUUCCAUCAGGAUUUCGGCCCGGGGAGCGUUGACGGGUGUGUAGUUCUCGUACUUUCCCGGGUACGUCCGAGGCCGUGGUGGGGACCUCGGCCGAGG